rnacentral:rRNA from 1 species
CUUAAAUUGAAGAGUUUGAUCAUGGCUCAGAUUGAACGCUGGCGGCAGGCCUAACACAUGCAAGUCGAGCGGCAGCGGGAAGUAGCUUGCUACUUUGCCGGCGAGCGGCGGACGGGUGAGUAAUGUCUGGGAAACUGCCUGAUGGAGGGGGAUAACUACUGGAAACGGUAGCUAAUACCGCAUAACGUCUUCGGACCAAAGAGGGGGACCUUCGGGCCUCUUGCCAUCGGAUGUGCCCAGAUGGGAUUAGCUAGUAGGCGGGGUAAUGGCCCACCUAGGCGACGAUCCCUAGCUGGUCUGAGAGGAUGACCAGCCACACUGGAACUGAGACACGGUCCAGACUCCUACGGGAGGCAGCAGUGGGGAAUAUUGCACAAUGGGCGCAAGCCUGAUGCAGCCAUGCCGCGUGUGUGAAGAAGGCCUUCGGGUUGUAAAGCACUUUCAGCGGGGAGGAAGGCA